ensembl:lncRNA
AUGAAGGGGACAGGUGUGUGUAAUGAAGGGGACAGGUGUGUGUAAUGAAGGGGACAGGUGUGUGUAAUGAAGGGGACAGGUCUGUGUAAUGAAGGGGACAGGUGUGCGUAAUGAAGGGGACAGGUGUGCGUAAUGAAGGGGACAGGUGUGUGUAAUGAAGGGGACAGCUGUGCGUAAUGAAGGGGACAGGUGUGUGUAAUGAAGGGGACAGGUGUGUGGAAUGAAGGGGACAGGUGUGUGUAAUGAAGGGGACAGGUCUGUGUAAUGAUGGGGACAGGUGUGUGUAAUGAAGGGGACAGGUGUGUGUAAUGAAGGGGACAGGUGUAUGUAAUGAAGGGGACAGGUCUGUGUAAUGAAGGGGACAGGUGUGUGUAAUGAAGGGGACAGCUGUGUGUAAUGAAGGGGACAUGUGUGUGUAAUGAAGGGGACAGCUGUGUGUAAUGAAGGGGACAUGUGUAUGUAAUGAAGGGGACAGGUGUAUGUAAUGAAGGGGACAGGUGUAUGUAAUGAAGGGGACAGCUGUGCGUAAUGAAGGGGACAGGUGUGUGUAAUGAAGGGGACAGGUGUGUGUAAUGAAGGGGACAGGUCUGUGUAAUGAAGGGGACAGGUGUGUGUAAUGAAGGGGACAGCUGUGUGUAAUGAAGGGGACAGGUCUGUGUAAUGAAGGGGACAGGAGUGUAAUGAAGGGGACAGGUCUGUGUAAUGAAGGGGACAGGUGUGUGUAAUGAAGGGGACAGCUGUGUGUAAUGAAGGGGACAGGGCUGUGUAAUGAAGGGGAC